rnacentral:rRNA from 1 species
UACGGGGGGGGCAAGCGUUGUUCGGAAUUACUGGGCGUAAAGGGUUCGUAGGUGGCCAACUAAGUCAGACGUGAAAUCCCUCAGCUUAACUGGGGAACUGCGUCUGAUACUGGUAUGGCUUGAGUGCAGGAGAGGAACGCGGAAUUCCAGGUGUAGCGGUGAAAUGCGUAGAUAUCUGGAGGAACACCGGUGGCGAAGGCGGCGUUCUGGACUGCAACUGACACUGAGGAACGAAAGCCAGGGGAGCAAACGGG